rnacentral:rRNA from 1 species
AGAGUUUGAUCAUGGCUCAGAUUGAACGCUGGCGGCAGGCCUAACACAUGCAAGUCGAACGGUAACAGGAAGAAGCUUGCUUCUUUGCUGACGAGUGGCGGACGGGUGAGUAAUGUCUGGGAAACUGCCUGAUGGAGGGGGAUAACUACUGGAAACGGUAGCUAAUACCGCAUAACGUCGCAAGACCAAAGAGGGGGACCUUCGGGCCUCUUGCCAUCGGAUGUGCCCAGAUGGGAUUAGCUAGUAGGUGGGGUAACGGCUCACCUAGGCGACGAUCCCUAGCUGGUCUGAGAGGAUGACCAGCCACACUGGAACUGAGACACGGUCCAGACUCCUACGGGAGGCAGCAGUGGGGAAUAUUGCACAAUGGGCGCAAGCCUGAUGCAGCCAUGCCGCGUGUAUGAAGAAGGCCUUCGGGUUGUAAAGUACUUUCAGCGGGGAGGAAGGGAGUAAAGUUAAUACCUUUGCUCAUUGACGUUACCCGCAGAAGAAGCACCGGCUAACUCCGUGCCAGCAGCCGCGGUAAUACGGAGGGUGCAAGCGUUAAUCGGAAUUACUGGGCGUAAAGCGCACGCAGGCGGUUUGUUAAGUCAGAUGUGAAAUCCCCGGGCUCAACCUGGGAACUGCAUCUGAUACUGGCAAGCUUGAGUCUCGUAGAGGGGGGUAGAAUUCCAGGUGUAGCGGUGAAAUGCGUAGAGAUCUGGAGGAAUACCGGUGGCGAAGGCGGCCCCCUGGACGAAGACUGACGCUCAGGUGCGAAAGCGUGGGGAGCAAACAGGAUUAGAUACCCUGGUAGUCCACGCCGUAAACGAUGUCGACUUGGAGGUUGUGCCCUUGAGGCGUGGCUUCCGGAGCUAACGCGUUAAGUCGACCGCCUGGGGAGUACGGCCGCAAGGUUAAAACUCAAAUGAAUUGACGGGGGCCCGCACAAGCGGUGGAGCAUGUGGUUUAAUUCGAUGCAACGCGAAGAACCUUACCUGGUCUUGACAUCCACGGAAGUUUUCAGAGAUGAGAAUGUGCCUUCGGGAACCGUGAGACAGGUGCUGCAUGGCUGUCGUCAGCUCGUGUUGUGAAAUGUUGGGUUAAGUCCCGCAACGAGCGCAACCCUUAUCCUUUGUUGCCAGCGGUCCGGCCGGGAACUCAAAGGAGACUGCCAGUGAUAAACUGGAGGAAGGUGGGGAUGACGUCAAGUCAUCAUGCCCCUUACGACCAGGGCUACACACGUGCUACAAUGGCGCAUACAAAGAGAAGCGACCUCGCGAGAGCAAGCGGACCUCAUAAAGUGCGUCGCAGUCCGGAUUGGAGUCUGCAACUCGACUCCAUGAAGUCGGAAUCGCUAGUAAUCGUGGAUCAGAAUGCCACGGUGAAUACGUUCCCGGGCCUUGUACACACCGCCCGUCACACCAUGGGAGUGGGUUGCAAAAGAAGUAGGUAGCUUAACCUUCGGGAGGGCGCUUACCACUUUGUGAUUCAUGACUGGGGUGAAGUCGAAACAAGGUA